AUAUUUAAGCCACCAAAAGCAAUGCGAGGAGGAAUCCCCAUAUGUUUCCCGCAGGUUCAUGCAUGCUCAUAUCUUUUCCUGUGGUAUCUAAUUCCAAGUUCCCGACUAACAUCAUGUUUUAAUGCUCUUGAAGUUUGGAAACAGUGGAUCACUGGAGCAACAUGGGUUUGCAAGGAACAAGAUUUGGACCAUUGAUAAUGAUCCUCCACCUCUUCAUCCUGCUGAGUACAUUGGCAAAUCUGCUAUAGACUUGCUACUGAAACCAUCUGAAGAGGAUCUGAAGUGCUGGCCCCACUGGGCAUGUUUGCAUGCGGGCGGCACUAAUCAAAUCAGAUAAGAUUAGCCUGAUGUAUUUUGUUUUCUAUGGGGAGACGAAAUGAAAUGAAUUGAUACGGUUGACCCUUUUAAGGUGUUUCCCCUUUAAUGGGGCUGUUUUGCAUUAACCUUGUUCGAUUAAAAUCUUUUUUCUAUUAAAAAAAUGAAAAAUCUUGGGAAUUGUCGCCCUUCCAAAUGGCCCUUAAAUAGUUCAGAUGAAAAAUGAUGAAACUUUUGCAUCUUCUUUUCUAUUCUCUUUUUCGUGUUAAAUUUUCUCUUUUAUUUAUUUAUUUUGUAUGCGAUGUCUUGCUAAUGAAAACAUUUACCGUGGCAUUUCAGUUUUUGAGUUCCGUCUUAGAGUGGCUCUUGCGUUGAAUGGAGAUCUCACCAUGAUAUCGCGGAUUAGGAACCUCGACAGCAAGCCAUUUAGUUUCUCCUUUGCUUUCCACACAUAUUUCUCUGUUUCUGACAUCAGGUAUGGAAAAAUCUUUGUUGGAUUAGAAUCGACAUCCCUGUAUUGGAUAGGACCAUAGAACUCAUCUUCAUUUAAUCCACUGAUUGAAUUAUCAUUUGAUAUUUUUGUCUUGUUGUUCAAA